rnacentral:rRNA from 1 species
UACGUAGGGUCCGAGCGUUGUCCGGAAUCAUUGGGCGUAAAGAGCGUGUAGGCGGCUUGUUAAGUCUUGCGUGAAAUCUCGGGGCUCAACCCCGAGCGGUCGUGAGAAACUGGCAGGCUAGAGUGCGGGAGAGGAGAGUGGAAUUCCUGGUGUAGCGGUGAAAUGCGCAGAUAUCAGGAAGAACACCCGUGGCGAAGGCGGCUCUCUGGAACGCAACUGACGCUGAGACGCGAAAGCGUGGGGAGCAAACAGG